GCCGCGAUUCGCGGGUAUUUAGGGGGCGGAGCUUAAUGCCGUGAAGAGCCCGCCCCCCAUCAGAGACUUGUGGCUGUGUGUUGUUGUUGGCAAGGGUAACUGUCUAAUGCUGGAUCCUAUCUCCCCCCCCCUCUUCUCUCUCUGACUGACCUAGCCUUUCUCUCUUUCUCUCCAUAAUUCUCUCUCUAUCUUGCUCCUCUCUCUAUUCUGACACUCCCUCUUGCUUCUCUCUCCCCUCUCAUCCAUUUCUCCCUGACACCCUCUCUCUUUCUCUAAUUCCCUCUUUUCCAAUGAAACCCUCACUUUCUAUCCCUGAUUCCCCCCCCCCCCCCUCUUUCUUGCUCCUCUCCCUCCUUCUCUCUCUCUUCCCCUGUUAACCUCUGUUUCUCACUUUCACUCUCCCCCCAAGAAGAAUUGUAGUGACAACAGAGAGAGAGGGGGACGGGGGGCCCUUUCAAGAUCACACCUUCCUGAGCAUCACACCCGCACGGCCGCAGAUUCACUGUUUUAGGUGGCGUCACCUGCGUCCCGCUGACGGCGGCACUGCCUACAUCCGGCUGAAGCCGCUGCCGCCCACAUGACUGUGUCCUGCUGCUGAAGCCGCCACCCGCACACCCGUGUCCCUGUGAAGCCAUCCGCCUGUGUACAGCUUAAGCCGCCGCCGCUGCUGCUGAGGUCCUGGCAGCGUUGCGGCUGAGUUCUGUGAAGUGGACAGGAGGAGUCAGGAGCCGGUAACAGCACGACCCAGACAGGCAGCGGCUGCUUGAUUAAGGAACAAGCAUACAGUAGUGACAGCUACAACACCAGGAUAAAAUUAAAGUGAGAUAAGGCUUCCAUCUCAGAGAAUGACACAAGGAUAAAAUUAAAGUGAGAUGAGGCUUCCAUCUCAGAGAAUGAUACAAGAUAAUGCCUUUCCCUGUUUCCCCCCACUUAGUGCAUAAAAUAUAGAAAUAUGUGUAGAUCACUGAAAUCAGCAAAAUGUUUUUUAAGUAAUUCAACACCGUAUUUCAAAGGGAAAAUAAAAUAAAAUUGCCAGCAGCCCAGAGCAUACAGACUAAACUAGCAAUGUCUAAACUGAAUGUUGGAGAUUGGCAGCUAUAGAACUUUAAGAAAGACAGGCAUGAGCAGCUAAUUCAUACAAGAUAUUAUACUGUGACCCUCAAAUGUCUCAGUUGGUGACGGGCCAUUAAUGGAGAAGUUUCACUUAAAAUGCACCUUGGCACUUGCACCUUUUUUCC